CUCUAAGGACUUGGCGGUGCCCCAAACCCACCUAGAGGAGCCUGUUCUAUAAUCGAUAACCCACGCUACACCCGACCGCCUCUCGCCAC
rnacentral:rRNA from 1 species